rnacentral:rRNA from 1 species
AUUGAACGCUGGCGGCAUGCCUUACACAUGCAAGUCGAACGGCAGCACGGGAGCAAUCCUGGUGGCGAGUGGCGAACGGGUGAGUAAAGUAUCGGAACGUGCCCAGUCGUGGGGGAUAACGUAGCGAAAGUUACGCUAAUCCCGCAUACGAACUAUGGAUGAAAGCGGGGGAUCGCAAGACCUCGCGCGAUUGGAGCGGCAGAUAUCAGAUUAGGUAGUUGGUGGGGUAAAGGCUCACCAAGCCGACGAUCUGUAGCUGGUCUGAGAGGACGACCAGCCACACUGGGACUGAGACACGGCCCAGACUCCUACGGGAGGCAGCAGUGGGGAAUUUUGGACAAUGGGCGAAAGCCUGAUCCAGCCAUGCCGCGUGCAGGAUGAAGGCCUUCGGGUUGUAAACUGCUUUUGUACGGAACGAAAAGGUUUGGCCUAAUAAGCUGAGCUCAUGACGGUACCGUAAGAAUAAGCACCGGCUAACUACGUGCCAGCAGCCGCAGUAA